CAUCUCCAGGUGACCAUGACCAUCUCUGUGUCCCCUUGACCAUGUCAUGGUCACUCCCUGGUCACUCCCUGGUCACUCCAUGGUCACUCCAUGGUCACUCCGUGUCCCCUCCCUGUUCCCUUCACCAUCUCAUGGUCACUCCAUGGUCACUCCAUGGUCACUCCCUGGUCCCUCCAUGGUCACUCCGUGGUCACUCCCUGGUCCCUCCAUGGUCCCUCCAUGGUCACUCCGUGGUCACUCCAUGGUCACUCCGUGGUCACUCCCUGGUCACUCCGUGUCCCUUCCCUGUUCCCUUCACCAUCUCAUGGUCACUCCAUGGUCACUCCCUGGUCACUCCAUGGUCACUCCCUGGUCACUCCAUGGUCACUCCAUGGUCACUCUGUGGUCACUCCAUGGUCACUCCAUGGUCACUCCGUGGUCACUCCAUGAUCACCUCCCUGUCCCAUUGACCAUCUCCGUGGUCACUCCAUGGUCACUCCAUGGUCACUCUGUGGUCCCUCCAUGGUCACUCUGUGUCCCCUCCCUGUUCCCUUCAUCAUCUCAUGGUCACCUCCAUGGUCCCUCCAUGGUCACUCCCUGGUCACUCCGUGGUCACUCCCUGGUCACUCCAUGGUCACUCCAUGGUCCCUCCAUGGUCACUCCAUGGUCACUCCGUGGUCACUCCGUGGUCACUCCAUGGUCCCUCCAUGGUCACUCUGUGGUCACUCCAUGGUCACUCCAUGGUCACUCCGUGGUCCCUCCAUGGUCACUCCGUGGUCACUCCAUGGUCCCUCCGUGGUCCCUCCAUGGUCACUCCAUGGUCACUCCGUGGUCACUCCAUGGUCACUCCAUGGUCACUCCAUGGUCACCUCCCUGUCCCCUUGACCAUCUCCUGGUCACUCCAUGGUCACUCCAUGGUCACUCCGUGGUCACUCCCUGGUCACCUCCAUGGUCACCUCCAUGGUCACUCCAUGGUCACUCUGUGGUCCCUCCAUGGUCACUCCAUGGUCACUCCCUGGUCACUCCCUGGUCCCUCCCUGGUCACUCCAUGGUCACUCCGUGGUCACUGCGUGGUCACUCCCUGGUCCCUCCAUGGUCACUCCCUGGUCCCUCCAUGGUCACUCCAUGGUCCCUCCCUGGUCACUCCCUGGUCCCUCCAUGGUCACUCCAUGGUCACUCCAUGGUCACUCCCUGGUCACUCCAUGGUCACUCCAUGGUCACUCCAUUGUCCAUGGUCACCUCCCUGUCCCAUUGACCAUCUCCUGGUCACUCCGUGGUCACUCCGUGGUCACUCCGUGGUCACUCCAUGGUCACUCCCUGGUCACUCCGUGGUCACUCCAUGGUCACUCUGUGGUCACUCCCUGGUCACUCUGUGUCCCCUCCCUGUUCCCUUCACCAUCUCAUGGUCACCUCCAUGGUCACUCCCUGGUCACUCCAUGGUCACCUCCAUCGCCUCCCUGUCCCCCUGACCAUCUCCAGGUGACCAUGACUGUCCCCAUGUCCCCUUGACCAUCUCGUGGUCACUCUGUGGUCACUCCAUGGUCACUCCAUGGUCACUCUGUGUCCCCUCCCCCUCUCAUCUCCAUCUUCUCGUCCCCAGCGUGACCCGGCCGGGGCCCGGCACCGCC
ensembl:lncRNA